rfam:TPA: Bos taurus chromosome 7, whole genome shotgun sequence.
UCCCUGGCAGCCCAGUAGUUAAGACACCGCACUUCCAAUGCAGGGGACAUGGGUUCAAUCCCUGUCCAGGGAA